rnacentral:sRNA from 1 species
CAGGCUUGUGCUCUUCACAUCAUUGUCACAUCUCCACUUAUCUCCACUUCACAUGCUCCUUUUACAACAAAAGGGCCACUGACAACAGGGCAAAGGCAGGCCAGGUCCUGGUCAUGGAGAAUGAGGGGCGCGAACGCAUUGAUGAUGAGAUGAUGGUAGUUGUAGAAAAACUGAGGAACAUUACUGAACAUUUGCGCAAGCUUCAGCUCCAUAAUGCGGCC